rnacentral:misc_RNA from 1 species
GUGAAUCAUCGAAUUUUUGAACGCAAAUUGCACUCUCUUCGGAGAGUAUGCCUGUUUGAGGGUCAGCCUCUAUAAAUCGACAUCGUUGCUGUUUUGCGGUGGCGUUCGUUGGCAAUUGGGUCAUCUUACUUCCUUUUGUUUUAUGCGACUUAAAAUUUUCUUUUGGUUCACUGAACGUUUCUAAGAUCUAUUUUUUUAUACGUUUAAGGUUUCGAUUUUCAUUAGUCGUGACAAUCACAU